rnacentral:rRNA from 1 species
GGACUACUCGGGUUUCUAAUCCUGUUUGCUCCCCACGCUUUCGCACCUCAGCGUCAGUACCGGGCCAGUGAGCCGCCUUCGCCACUGGUGUUCUUGCGAAUAUCUACGAAUUUCACCUCUACACUCGCAGUUCCACUCACCUCUCCCGGACUCGAGCUCUUCAGUAUCGAAGGCAGUUCUGGAGUUGAGCUCCAGGAUUUCACCCCCGACUUAAAGAGCCGCCUACGUGCGCUUUACGCCCAGUAAUUCCGAGCAACGCUAGCCCCCUUCGUAUUACCGCGGCUGCUGGCAC